UGUGUACAAGCAUGACCCGUCCAUUUGAUCACCUCUGCAUUACAACUCACAAGUACGGAGUAUAAAAAGAAAGAAACCCCGUAUGGCCGUAUAGGUCUUCUUUCAACUCAAUUGACAUCUUCUCAAAGUUUUUGUGCCGCAAAGUGCAAACAAGUAAACAAUCAUUGGUAUUAUUCGACGUUCCAGAUUAUACUCUCUUUGACAAGGUAUCUUUCUAUCACUUUUCUCUAGUUUGAUUAUAUCGUUACUAAAUUGUAUCAAGUAGCACAUCUUGGGGUUGAUUAUCAAUUUGUCAAUGGUUUCAAAAAUUGUUUUUUAACUAUCAUGUAAAACUUCGUACAUAAUAUUUUUAAUUUAUACAAGAAAGAAAAAAUUGGAAAUAAGUACCUAUUAAAAAAAUUUGACACAUAGAUAAUCAUUUCCAAUUUUUCCUAGAAGAAAAUAUGAAUUGAAUCCAUCAGACCCAUGAGUGCGUUUGGGUAAGUUAUGUAUUUUCUCUAAUUCUAUGUUUUUUAGAUCUAUAUCAUCACUGUAGAUGGCGUAUGGCCGAUUAUAGAUAAAAAUAUUUUUUCGUAUAAAAAAUAAAAAAAAAAAUAUAAAAAAAAAGAAGAAGAAGAAGAUAGGACUAUGGCUGAUUACUUAGUAACUUUGGCGGAUCCAAUGUGGGUUCAAAUUUUUUUUUAAAAAAAAAAAACAAAAACCGAAAAACGCUUAAAAGGUAUAUCUGUGUAAUAUAUGUCAAGAAGUUAUUAGUUGAUUUUCGAUUCAUGUAAGAAAAUUUGUUUAAUAUGAUGUUAAUUUUUACUACUAUAGCAAUAUUAGCUGGAUUUUUUAAAAAUUAGUUUAUCUGAAUUAGAUAGAACUUAUUCUACUGAGUUGAGUUACUGAUUUGGUAUUGGUAGUUUAAUUUACUUGUAAUAAUUGAAUGUAAUAGAGUACAUGUUUUAAGCAAUUGUUAGAUUGAUUAGAUUUUGGAAUGCUUUAAAUUUUAGGAAUUUGAACAAUUAGGUGAUAAAACAUAAUGUUAGAUUAUGCCUAUAAUUACGAAAAGGAUUAUUGUCGUAGUACAAAGUGCAUAUAAUUCAUACCGUUACGCUACAUAAUGCAGCAAAACCUAAAUGAAAUUUUGAGAGUGAAGAGGUAGCUUGGUUGGUUAGAACUCCCCUUCGUGUUCCAACUAGGAUCAAUUCUCAUCCCCGCACUUUAGCUCUCUUAAUACCCCAAAAAAACAAUUAUGACAUUGAAUAGGCAGAGAUGCUUUCUAAGUCUAGGGAAAGAGAAGAGAGGAAUUGUGGAAGAAUGAAGAUAGAUGUAUGAUUUACAGGAACAAAAAUCAACUUAUCGGGGUUUCUUCCACUAACUAUGUGUGGUAAAAGGCCAAAAGUAUAGAAUUGAAGGAACAAGCUAAGUGACUUUGUUUCUUGUUUUUAGCUGUUCAGACUUAAUUUUAUUCUUUCAACCCUUCCCUUUCUUUCAUGCUCUUCUGCAAUUUUGACUGUAAUUUACCUUAUGGAUGUUUAAUGGUGAUAUGCAUAGCAGUGUAGCUGAAUAUUUGUCAGUCAUCCAAAUUCCAGACACUUCCUUAAUCUGAAUCAUUGCUAAAUUUGAAAUAAUUGGUGUAUUCUUAAAGUAGUAUUACACAAGGCAUAGCUUGAAGGCGUUUUUCACAUAGUUUGGCUCCUGUGAUUUUUUUUAGAAAUAAACAUCUGUUUCUUGAGCUUACCAUAAGUUUUCUGAGCUGAUUUCUACUUCGUGAAAUUAUUUGUAUAAGUUCUAGAGAAUAAAAGCUUAGUCCCGCCAAUUAGUGGAGUGUUAAGCGACUGCCAAUGUAAGAAACAUGGUAUGUAGAUAAAUUCUUUAAUGGCGGUAGCAGUGCUUCUACUACCACUGUUGGUGGACAAUCUGAACGAGACUGUUUUCUUACACCUGGUCUUACUAUGUUGCUCUCUGGCCCUCCAUCUUGGUACUCUCUCUUCUUUACAGUAAUGCUAGCUCACUAAUGUGUUAUGAGGACUUAUAAAAGAAAUUUUCAUAAACUGCUUUCUUACCAGCAGGAAGACGUCUUUGCUUUUUCAGUAUGCCUUGAAUAUGGCAGCUCACUAUCAGUCCUCAGCACAUGGAUAUGUUGUCUUCAUCUGCAAUCGUCGCCGUUUUGAAACCAAACCUCCUUUUCUCUCCCAGAUGUCUCUUCUCUCUUUCAUCCUCAUACAUAUGCUGAGAUGGAUAAUUAUAGAUUGAAUUGCUAAAAAUUCUCAAUCCUAUUUCAGGGAAUUGAUACUUCCUCACAUCUCUUUUAGCGAAUUUAGAUCAAGUUAGUUGUUACUGCUUCAAUUAUUAGUGAAAUCUGUCCUUUAUACUCAGGUCUUCAUCGUCUCCCCUUAAUUUUUUUGUUUUCUUUUAAUAUAGUGCAUCUGUGGUUCCUAGGUAUGUAGAUGAUUAUGAUGAUGAAGGCAUCAAGAAAUAUUUUGCUGCUUUCCAUCUUCUCUAACCUUUUCCAUGUGCUGUUGUUGUUGAUGAUUUUGGAGACUUCUUCCUUAAUAGGUAUCUUCUAAAAUGUUUUGGUUUUGUUAAGAGCUAGUCUUGUAUCAUCCUUUGGUUGCAUAUUUAUAAUGGCUUGUAUUGCAUUUUAGCGUGAUAGCAUAACAAAUUUCAUAUUGAUUAUGACUGCACUAUACUGAUCAUCAUGUAACUAGAUGAAGCAAGUGUCAACAGAGGUAUAAUAAUUUUCGUGGCAGAGAGUUGGCCAUGGUUAGAGUUAUAGCUCUUUGUCAUAGUGCAAUUAUCCAUGCCAACAAAACAACAACUUGUCAGCUUUUGCUCUCUGACACGCAUCAUGGUGACUCCCUUAGGCUCCUAUUUAUUUACAAGAGAUGGAUUUCAUCUAUGUUUACCAUCCAAGGUGAAGGUGAUGGAUCCUGCUCCUUUCUACUUAAGCAUAGUGUGCGCACAACAGGAAGUGGUUCAGGUCAAAAGAGCGCCAGAUACUCUAUAGCUCUUCGGUACCUGAUUUUGGAAGGAAUUGUAGAUGCAUAGCUGUGAUAUAUUAUGUCACUUGGUUAGUAUCUUUAACAUAUUAUUGCUAAAAUAUGUUUAGGCAUUUACAACCUAAAUACUUUCUAGGUGACCAGUGUGCAGGUAUUUUAGCAUAAGAACAAAUUUUCCCCCAAAAUAUUGCUAUAUUGAAUUCAACUGCUAGAAAAGAUUGGAUUAUAAUUUAUUACAGUUAUGCAAAACAAAAACAUGAACUGAAUGUUAAAAAUUGUAUGCAUUUAAUUACAAA